AAAAUAAUAUCCGCAGUACGUAUAACUGCGUGAAACGCGUACCCGUGUAAUGUUGGUCCACUCGUGUUUGUCACUGUCAACAUAAUAAUACUAUGCAAAUAGGUACGCAAAUAAAUGUCCGAUUUCAUCCGAAAUUAUUACUGAACUACUCGUUCAAUAUAAUGCUCGUCAUACGUGACAGGUUGUAACGGCCAUUAAAAUAUUAAAACCGUCUAGUGUUAAGUCCAAAUGAUGCGAAUCGUCAUGUCUCAGGGCGUAAACAUCUUUUUUUCUUUAGAUACCAACACGUUUUAACGUAAAUUUUACUCCGUUGUUAAUUUUGAAACAAUUAAUGUUAUAAGAACGAAAAACCGAUUUAAGCCCGAUUUACAUUUUGGGGCUGUUCACACCAACAUACAUGUUUUCGUUUGUCUUAACCGAUCGCAAUUGGUCGGCUUUCUUAGAACCUCCGUUUAAAAAAUCAUUGUUUAUGUCAGUAAGAACAGUCCUUACGCGGCACGCCAAGGCCCGUGACUUGUGGAAAGGAGUGAGUUAUCGAAUCAAAAUGUUCUCAUUAUUUUUACUUGUCGCUUAAAAAAAAUAGUACACAUAUUGAAUUUCGCAAUAAAGUUUUUUCGAACCAACUUAAUUUAUAUUAAUUUUGUACAGAAACAUUAAAAAAUAUACAUAUUUCAAUAUUAAAUUGAUUCCGACCAAACAUUCUUUGGUAAAAUGUUUUGUCGCGCCGUGCCGUACAAAUUAAAAUCGAUCUUUAUAGUCGGACUAUACUGAAUCGUAAAUGAUCUUAACAGAUUAAAAAUCAACUGAUAAUUAUUUUAUUGUUCGUACGUCGCACUCGUGUGGCAAAAUUCGACUGCAGCCGAUCUCGAUGGGCAUUUAUGAUUUACAAAACCGGGUGCACUAAGGCGCAAAGUUUGGAUUGCAGUUAAUUGUUACAAAAAAUAAAUUAUUAAUAAGUGUGACACGGGUACAUUCACGAUUUUUUUAGUUACGAAAAUGUCGCAACACCAUAUCGUGUGGUCUCCGUCUUACUAAUGCACGACAUAGAAAAAUUACGUUACUCAGAAUAUACAUUACGAAAUUUCAAUUUAAAUUGGAGUUCAAUCAAAAAUA